rnacentral:tRNA from 1 species
UCCUCCAUAGCUCAAUAGGCAGAGCAUUCGACUGUUAAUCGAAGGGUUGUUGGUUCAAGUCCAACUGGAGGAGC